rnacentral:lncRNA from 1 species
CCCCGCCGCUCUCUCCAGACGAUAAAGAAUUAACGGUCCCUGCUAUUAGAUUACUCACACGGGAACAAGUCCACGUGGUUAAUUGUAAGGAGAUGCGAUGGAAUGCGCUACUUCGCGACAUGAAUUGUACACGUCACCACUGUUAAAGUCCUAUUGAGUGCGCCCAAAACAUCUUGUUUUGAAGCGGUAUUCGUCUCAGGGUUUACGAUUCCUUGUAAUGGCAUAACGAUCCUGACACGUGGACAAAAUCUGUUUGCUUACUGUUUCGAAUUAGUUACUUACAAGUCAAUGCGAGCGACGAUUUCUCAACAGAGGGAAUCCUUUCCCAUGGUGAACUCCGUCAGCGGCAACCUCAGCAUUUUCCUUAGUUGGGAGGACCGUUCAUUUUUCACGAGGUGGAAAGGGGGGAGGGGAGCCGGUGAAAGAGAUGCACCCUAUAUUGCACAGAUGCUGCAAUCAAACCAUUUCAGCAACGUGGCAGGAAGCAGAAUAAUUACAAGCCUCAAGCUUGACGUUAGAGAAAAUGUGUACUGCUUCCCGUGUCUUGUAGAGUAUCUUCUGCUUAAAUAUUACGAAAGUGACUCACACAGCGCUAACAGCACAAGCGACAAGGAAGAGCUUGAAGAAAAUUAGCAGUAAUUUUUAAUGUUUGACUUCAUUAUAGUUUGCAGGCCUUAGGAGCUUGCAGGUAGCUCGGGCUUUUCUGGUCGAGCUACCACUAAAAACACGAUAAUGAAAAGUAAGUAACUAAAAAGAAAGAAAACUUUGUUGGUUUAGCUAAGUUCCCUAGCUUAGCUUUAAAAUGGUAUUCUGUAGCCACAGAAAUGUUUUCCAGUGCAGAAGGAACUUCUGUGUAGAUUUGAAAUCUACUUUGUGUAUUUUGGUAGGGAUAUAUAUAUUUUAAAAUAGUACAACAUUUUCAAUCUUAAAGUAGUGCAGAAAUAUUUUGCGUGAUCCCCCCUCUUCUCCCCCAUUUUGUUUGCUACUCCCCCUUUCAGGCCAUUUUUUUACGUAAUUCCCCUAAUCCCACCAGCCCCCCCCCCCAACUUGUAAAGAAUAAACGGUCCCUAAUGUCGGUUAAUCAUGAAAAAAGGGGAAAAAGUGUAUGUUUCCUAAAAUUAAAAUGUUAGGUAGAAAAUGUAUAUCCAUGUUGCUUUUUAAAAUUAAAAGUACGUGCAUUGAAGCAAGACGGACACCAAAGCCAUCCGAGUGAAAAGACAACGCGACAUUUUUCCGUGGAUAUUAAUAAGAAAACUCGAAGAAAAAUUGUAUAAUAGAAUACUUCAAGUGUGAUCAAAUCUGUUAAAAGGGAAGUUAAUAAAUCCGAUGAUGCCAUAAUGUGGCUACACAUUUUGUGUAAGCCACACAAAAAUGUUUACGUCAUUGGGAAGUAUGGUGACCGUUAGACGGUCUAUGGUAGUCUAGGGUUAACUGAAAGGCCUUUGUUUAGCCGCAUGAACUCUGAACAGAUCAAUCAGGUAGUGUUUUUGAUAAUCUUCUCUUAAAGCAAAUAAUCGUUGUAGUUUAGUUCAGUUGUUUCCGCGCCUUCGUAUUGAUCACUCAGCAAAAAGAAAACAAAGAUCAAAAAUAGGCAUGUGUAUGAAUCUCUCCUAUAGUUUUCGAUCAAAUAUCGGUGCUUUAGUUUCUAGUUUAAUUUCCUUUGCAACUGACUAUGUGCUUUCGUCAAAAUGAUUUUGGAAACAAUAUCUCGCCCAGCAGCAGAGUUUACUUUGGGCGAUCAGUUAGGUCUUGUCGUUAUUUGCUUAUGUAGAGUGUUUAUCAACAUAAUUUCGCAAGACAUUACCACGUAUUUUAAUCAUUUUAUACGAAACCAUUAUCUACCUUAAUUCUUAGUUAAUACUUCAUAUUCAUAGAAUGUUUAGUGUACGGCUUUCCCCGGUUAUACAACAAUUAGAUGUAAAGGGAAUAUAGUAGUGGGUUACAUAUCUGACUGUUGUUAAAUGAGAGCCCAUGAAAUAUAACUUAAUUAGAGUCGC